CCCUUAGAUGUUCUGGGCUGCACGCGCGCUACACUGAUGCACUCAACGAGUUUACGACCUUGCCUGGAAGGGUUGGGUAAUCUUUUUAACAUGCAUCGUGAUGGGGAUAGAUUAUUGCAAUUAUUAAUCUUCAACGAGGAAUUCCUAGUAAGCGCGAGUCAUCAGCUCGUGCUGAUUACGUCCCUGCCCUUUGUACACACCGCCCGUCGCUCCUACCGAUUGAAUGGUCCGGUGAAGCGUUCGGACCGUGGCCUUUGGACGGUUCGCCGUCUGUUGGCUGCGGGAAGUUCGUUAAACCUUAUCAUUUAGAGGAAGGAGAAGUCGUAACA
rnacentral:rRNA from 1 species